CAGGAUCAGUCUCAGGCCAUGAACCUGGCAACCCUACUAGAGACGGAUGUGUGAGUGUGCGUGGAAAUGUGCUUACUGUACAAAGAUUAAACCUUUCAUUGUCAAUUAACGAGGCCAGAGGGGAAGCUUAAGGAUACACUGUCUCAUCCCCGUUAGUCUUCCAUUGUUCUUUUCCAACUGACAUUCGACAUUCCUUGGCUACUCAACAUUCAUUCUUUAUUAGACUGUUGGUUUGGCGAUCUUGGUCUCUGUGAUUCUGGGGCCAGAGAUCCUUAGCUAAGUAGCAUAUCUGGAUGCAGGUAUGGCCAUCCACAGCUGAGUCUGAUCUGGCCUUUACACUGACUCUGAGGGGCAAAGCUAGAAUCACAUUUGGUGCCGCAGAAAAGAGAGGAGCCAGUAGCAGGAAGUGUUGGAGGAUUGGGAUGAAAAGCAUGGGAAGUGCAUAAGCAAUGCUAUUUAAUGACUCAAACACCAUCUCAAGGUGAAGACCUGCUAACCCUGUGGAACAACAGCUAUGUGUUACCCAAGGCUUCCAAGGCAAGACUUCAGCACCACAAACAGCUUCUUUGCUAAGCUUCUCUACAUUCUCUAGAUGCUUUAACAGAAAGAUAAUUAGUAGUUAAGAUGAACAACCAACAGAUGUUUUAAUAAAAGUCUAAUUACUUGUUAUGACUGAUUACAGAGUCCAGCAUGCAAAUGAGUUGUGCUAAUCUCUUUUUAUUAUCACCGCCACGGAUUUUCAUCUAUAACACCUGUGCAUAAUUUACAGGGAGCUCUCUAUAACCCCCAAGUUUCAUUUCAGUGUUAUCUGUGUAUUAUUUAUAACUCCUUUAGGAGGAACAUGUACAACAACAACAUCAGUAACAACAGCUCUGAAGUGUGGCUUAUAUUUGUUUGAAAUCAGAAUGAGAAAGCAAAAGAACUGGGGUGUGAAUUAUCAAUAUGGGAUGUUACCCAUCACAGGAUCAAAGUCACCAUGGGUGUCAUGGCCGUGAUGUCUCUCCAGAAUCACUAACUAUUAGGGCUCCCGAUUUAUAUGCAAUCCUCAUCAGAGGCCCUUCCCCAUGGGCCUCCUCCAAAGGAAGUAUGGAAAGUAGCAACACCAGAAUGGGCUUUUUCAGUGGUGGUUCUCCACUUGUGUGCCAGGCUAAGGCAUCCCUGCUUGCCCAAGCUUUUGGUUGCUAAUUGGAAUCAUACCCUACUAUAAUUCUGGCAUCUUUAUGGUGCUCAUCCUUCAGUUGGGUGGGGUAGGAUUUGUCCUCUUUUAUCGUAUUUCUGAGUGAGCGUUUAGGAAUGUAUUUAGGAAUGCUGUUUAUUGCAUUCUGUUGUCUGCAUUUGGUUUCUAACUGUUUUUUAUGUGGUUUUGUAGUUUGUGGACUGGUAAGU